UGGGGAAUAUUGCACAAUGGGCGCAAGCCUGAUGCAGCAACGCCGCGUGAACGAUGAAGGUCUUCGGAUCGUAAAGUUCUGUUGCAGGGGAAGAUAAUGACGGUACCCUGUGAGGAAGCCCCGGCUAAUUCCGUGCCAGCAGCCGCGGUAAUACGGAAGGUUCGGGCGUUAUCCGGAUUUAUUGGGUUUAAAGGGAGCGUAGGCCGUUUGGUAAGCGUGUUGUGAAAUGUAGGAGCUCAACUUCUAGAUUGCAGCGCGAACUGUCAGACUUGAGUGCGCACAACGUAGGCGGAAUUCAUGGUGUAGCGGUGAAAUGCUUAGAUAUCAUGAAGAACUCCGAUUGCGAAGGCAGCUUACGGGAGCGCAACUGACGCUGAAGCUCGAAGGUGCGGGUAUCGAACAGGA
rnacentral:rRNA from 1 species